CAUGGUCUUUUCUUUCAAAAAUAUAUUAUAUUAGGAGUUGCUAUAUAUUUUUGAAUGGAAGGCCCAUGUG